UACGUAGGGGGCGAGCGUUGUCCGGAGUACUGGGCGUAAAGCGCACGCAGGCGGUCUGUUAAGUUUGGAGUGACAGUUGGGUGCUUAACUGCCAAAGUGCUUCGAAAACUGACAGACUUGAGGGCUUCAGAGGGACACGGAAUUCCGGGGUGGAGUGGUGAAAUGCGUAGAUAUCGGGAGGAACACCUGUGGCGAAAGCGGCGCACUGGACCACAACUGACGCUGAGGCGCGAAAGCUAGGGGAGCAAACAGG
rnacentral:rRNA from 1 species